UGAACCUGCGGAAGGUAUCAUUACCGAGUGAGGGCCCUCUGGGUCCAACCUCCCACCCGUGUCUAUCGUACCUUGUUGCUUCGGCGGGCCCGCCGUUUCGACGGCCGCCGGGGAGGCCUUGCGCCCCCGGGCCCGCGCCCGCCGAAGACCCCAACAUGAACGCUGUUCUGAAAGUAUGCAGUCUGAGUUGAUUAUCGUAAUCAGUUAAAACUUUCAACAACGGAUCUCUUGGUUCCGGCAUCGAUGAAGAACGCAGCGAAAUGCGAUAAGUAAUGUGAAUUGCAGAAUUCAGUGAAUCAUCGAGUCUUUGAACGCACAUUGCGCCCCCUGGUAUUCCGGGGGGCAUGCCUGUCCGAGCGUCAUUGCUGCCCUCAAGCACGGCUUGUGUGUUGGGCCCCCGUCCCCCUCUCCCGGGGGACGGGCCCGAAAGGCAGCGGCGGCACCGCGUCCGGUCCUCGAGCGUAUGGGGCUUUGUCACCUGCUCUGUAGGCCCGGCCGGCGCCAGCCGACACCCAACUUUAUUUUUCUAAGGUUGACCUCGGAUCAGGUAGGGAUACCCGCUG
rnacentral:rRNA from 1 species